AGUGAACGCUGGCGGUAGGCCUAACACAUGCAAGUCGAACGGCAGCACAGUAAGAGCUUGCUCUUACGGGUGGCGAGUGGCGGACGGGUGAGGAAUACAUCGGAAUCUACUUUUUCGUGGGGGAUAACGUAGGGAAACUUACGCUAAUACCGCAUACGACCUACGGGUGAAAGCAGGGGAUCUUCGGACCUUGCGCGAUUGAAUGAGCCGAUGUCGGGUUAGCUAGUUGGCGGGGUAAAGGCCCACCAAGGCGACGAUCCGUAGCUGGUCUGAGAGGAUGAUCAGCCACACUGGAACUGAGACACGGUCCAGACUCCUACGGGAGGCAGCAGUGGGGAAUAUUGGACAAUGGGCGCAAGCCUGAUCCAGCCAUACCGCGUGGGUGAAGAAGGCCUUCGGGUUGUAAAGCCCUUUUGUUGGGAAAGAAAAGCAGCAGGUUAAUACCACGCUGUUCUGACGGUACCCAAAGAAUAAGCACCGGCUAACUUCGUG
rnacentral:rRNA from 1 species